rnacentral:rRNA from 1 species
AGAGUUUGAUCCUGGCUCAGAACGAACGCUGGCGGCAGGCCUAACACAUGCAAGUCGAGCGCGCCCUUCGGGGUGAGCGGCGGACGGGUUAGUAACGCGUGGGAAUAUGCCCAAAGGUACGGAAUAGCCUCUGGAAACGGAGAGUAAUACCGUAUGUGCCCUUCGGGGGAAAGAUUUAUCGCCUUUGGAUUAGCCCGCGUUAGAUUAGGUAGUUGGUGGGGUAAUGGCCUACCAAGCCUACGAUCUAUAGCUGGUUUUAGAGGAUGAUCAGCAACACUGGGACUGAGACACGGCCCAGACUCCUACGGGAGGCAGCAGUGGGGAAUCUUGGACAAUGGGGGCAACCCUGAUCCAGCCAUGCCGCGUGAGUGAUGAAGGCCUUAGGGUCGUAAAGCUCUUUCGCCUGUGAAGAUAAUGACGGUAGCAGGUAAAGAAACCCCGGCUAACUCCGUGCCAGCAGCCGCGGUAAUACGGAGGGGGUUAGCGUUGUUCGGAAUUACUGGGCGUAAAGCGCACGUAGGCGGAUCGGAAAGUUGGGGGUGAAAUCCCGGGGCUCAACCCCGGAACUGCCUCCAAAACUAUCGGUCUAGAGUUCGAGAGAGGUGAGUGGAAUUCCGAGUGUAGAGGUGAAAUUCGUAGAUAUUCGGAGGAACACCAGUGGCGAAGG